AGAACCCCCUACUAUGGAGUCGAGCAUGCGUAUUCCAGUGAAAAAGACUAACGUAGUUGCUAGCGCUCGAGAGCACUAGCAAUAACUAGGAUGAUAAUAUAAUUAGGAGACUUUCAGUUCUACUACAGACUUUGAUAAUGAUGUGUUCACAAGACCAUUAAAAGAAAAUUGGAAGCCCAUCUCCAGAGAUCCGGAGGAUAAGGGGGUCAAAUCUUGAUGCUUGAUUGGCCUUUCACAUGAGCAACCAAAUGAAAAUCAGCUUUCACGAUGUAAAUGGAAGGUCUGCCGAUUCAAAGGAGGACAUUUGUGUAAAAAAAUGAAAGAAAGAUAAAUGCACCAUGGAAAAAAGAUUCGUUCGGUUUCUAGAUAAUGAUAACUGGAAUUCGAACACUCUUAUCGGAUGUUUGUUUAAGCCUCCAGAUAUGGCGUAUACUUACAUACGUACGUGACAAUAAGUACAAUUGUAUGUCACUUAUGGAAAUUGUAACAUAUGGAACAUACAUGUACGUGCUCUUCAUAAUACGAUAACACAUAUAUAGUUGCAUUUGUUAUUCCCUAUUUUUUAACCUUGUCUAGAGAAGUCAUUUAAGUAUUGUACUUGCAUUGCAUACGCAUAUUCUUUAAAGAAAUCAUAUAACCAAUUAAAAUUUUU
rnacentral:sRNA from 1 species